UUGAUUGGAGGGGAUGCCAACUUCUGAGAGUUUGUCAGAAGUCUGAGAGUUUGCCAAAAGUCUUCAUCAGUGUGUUAUACCAGAGGAGAAUGUAAAAAGCAAGAUUGGUCCUGGCAGCAUAACAGCCCUUAUUCUCUUGAUGAAUUGCGUCUGUUCUGUAGUAGAUGGAGAACUGGUAGGAAAAAUGGCUGGAGUACUUAUGAAGGCCCCUGAGGACACUCUUCAGUUCUGGGUAUUGUCUAUCUGUGCUCAAGGUUGUUGCUGAUGUGGUGCUGCUUUGUGACCUUG